rnacentral:tRNA from 1 species
UCCUAGUUAGUACAGCGGUUAGUAUAUGUCGCUUUCACCGACAAGGCCCGGGUUCGACUCCCGGACUGGGAA